rnacentral:rRNA from 1 species
UACGGAGGGGGCUAGCGUUGUUCGGAGUUACUGGGCGUAAAGCGUGCGUAGGCGGUCUUCCAAGUUUGGUGUGAAAUCUCCCGGCUUAACCGGGAGGGUGCGCCGAAAACUGGGAGGCUGGAGUAUGGGAGAGGUAGGCGGAAUUCCUGGUGUAGCGGUGAAAUGCGUAGAUAUCAGGAGGAACACCUGUGGUGUAGACGGCUUACUGGACCAUGACUGACGCUGAGGCACGAAAGCGUGGGGAGCAAACAGG